CUACUGAAUCAAAAUCAGCAUAUUUAGCAAGAUCCCCAGGUGAUUUCGCAGGCACAUUAAAGGUUGAGAAGCCACUGAGCCAGUCUAGAGUACUAGGGAAAACCUGAGCGCCCUCCUGAAACUUGUUUUUCAUCUCGGUCGCUUUGGAGUGCUCAUUCUGAAUGUUUCAAUCCCAAAGAUCUGAGGAGUUUGAGUGUAUCAAGUUUCAUGCAUAAAACGGUGAAAUGCCCCACUGAGAAAAUCUUUCUUGGCCUUGAUCGUGUUGUUUUUCUUGGAGUAUACAGGAGUAAAAAUUCAAAACCACACCAGGUUAAGUGUUAUUCAGGGUUUCCUAUGUGUCCUGGACCCUGGAAAUAGAUGGAUAAACAAGACAGACAUGGUCCUAGACCUCCUGGAGCUUACAGUCCAGUGGGAAAGACAGAAAAUGAACAAUUAACAGAAUGGCCUUUCUUUUGCUCAGCUGUUUUAAAAUCAUUCUACCUUUCCCAAAGUGUUGACCACGGAAGGUCAAAGAGGUCACCUCUCCCCGGGGUAUUUGCAUUUUGAUGGGGACUGUACAAGACACCGAAGAAUAAGCUCACGGAAAGCUUUCUGACACUGUGUGGGGAGAGCAACUACUCCACUUACUUGAAAGGCUAGUUUUGUUUGGAGGCAAUUUUUUUCCUCAAAAGUGUUAAUUGUCACCUUUAUUUGGAAGCCGAGAUUAAAUAGCCUGCCCCUCCAUCCUUGCUUGAUGCAUUCUGGAAAAGGAGCUCAGUUUGCCAAGAUUACUGCCAGGACUGACACAUCCACAGAGUAGAUGGUAUGGCCUCCAUCCUCCUACAAUGCUGCCAAAACAGGUUUCUCUUUAAUUAUAAUAAAAAAGCUAAGUCCACUUUGGGGCAGGGAGCUUGAUGGCUUAAGGGCAUCAAAGGAGCAGCUGGAAUGGUCUGUUUCUGUCGGGUCUUCUUCCUCUUCCGUCAAUCACAGUAGGCAUUGGGAGUGAUUUUUGUCCCUUCAGACAGGAGACAUGAAAUGCAAAACUUCAUGGGCAGAAAUGAAGCCUAAUUUCACUUCAUUCCUCCGCACCUCCCCCUUGUCAUGAAUCUAGAGGCAACUCUGUUAAUUCUGACUCUGGUUAUCCUUCCACACAGCCCAGAACCAAGGUAGCACCAGCAGCAAUGAUAGGGACCUGGGCUGACUGGCUUCAAAAUAGAAUUGUAAGCGGGUCUCCAAGAGAAGGAGCCCUGACUUUGCCCAGCCGUGUCAUUCCUUUAUUGCCCCAAAAUGCUGCAUAACAAACAACCAUAAACUCUUGUAGCAUAUAACAAUAAGUUUAUUGCUCGUGCAUCUGGGAUGUAGGCUGAGCUCAUUCAUGUGUCUGGGGGUGGGCUGGCUGUUGCUUGGGGGGACUGAGGCGACUGGGCUCUAGUCCACAUGUCUCUCAUCCUGCAGUAAGCCAACCCCAGCAUGCUUGCGUGGGAAUGGCAGAGGGGCAAGAGCACAAGGGGAAACAUGAAAGACUUCUUUAGAUCUAGUCUCAGAAUUAACACACUCUUGUCUGCCUUAUUCUGUUGGCAAAUCACAGGAGGAAAUAUAGGGUGUCUUUAGGGAAUGCCAAAGUUACAUGACAAAAGGUGUAUAUACAGGAUGAGGUUGAAGUAUUGGGGUUCCUAGAGGUUUCU
ensembl:lncRNA